CGAACCAAGUACCGAACAAUCGACCACCUGGGAACUGGAGUGUGCCGUCAAUUGACCGCCCAGAAGCUGCGGUUAACCGCAGCUUAUUUGACGAACGCUGGGUGGCCUUUGUUCGUUUGCCGAACACGUGGCAGCGACCAUUUUAACUCCCGAACGGCUAGCGGUGUUCAGCGCCCAAACUAUGGAACUGGAAACUGACACUUAUUUGUGCGAACACCGCUGAGCCUCCUUACCUCUGCAUUCGGAAGUUUAACCGUAUGAACAGCAUCACCAAAGAUAGCCAUGCCAUGGAGCCUAUUCGUGUAACUAAAGACUAUGGGAAAGACUUUGGCUCCACGGCAAUUGAACUGUAUGUAUGUGAUCUGAGCGCCAUUCGGUAAUAAUGUGCGCUCAG